GGAUACAUAUAUAUAUAUGUCCUGUAUUUGUAUAUAUACGAACGCGAUUAAUUUUCUAUUAUAUGCUUUAUGCUUUAACAAUGAAUCAAUUAAUACAACUAUUGCUUAAAUAAAAGAAACAUAGCGAAGUAAAAGUAAUUUAUUUGAUUUACUUUUGUAGUAUAUUUUGAUUUAUCAUUGUUUUUCUUUCAGUUCAAAUAGAAGAAAAAUCAUUCAUCUUUUUGGGGAGUAGGAUGCUCCUCAUCAAAGAAUCCACAAGGAUUCCAAUCAUCAUUGCAAUCAUGCGUGUUGCAAUAAAUGGAGUGUUGUAACAUUUAAAUAAAAUAAAAAUCGCGAAUUAGAAGCACUGUUUGUUCGUUCAUUUAAAUUCGUUCUCAUUUGCGAUUUAAAUUUUAGAAACAUGUAUAGUUAAAUCAAGUGUGAUCAUUGGUGGAUUUAUUAACAUCAGUCUUUUUCGAUAUUCGCAUAAUAGAGUGUCUGAAAUGGUUGCUGUUUAAAAUAUGUAUUUAUGUAUAUAUGCAUUUCUGAAGGCAAACACAAAAUAUUAAAUGUAAUUAUUUACAAAUUUUUUUUUGUAACUAUAAUUUCAAUAUAACAAAUAUAAUAUCAAAUAUUUGUGGGAUGUACCCAAGAUUUUAAAGAUGUUUAUUAAUAAAAUGUUUAAUUAAUGAGAAAAGAUGUGUUUCAGAUCUACAAUUUCAAUUGGAUUAUAUGUCUGGUUUGUUUGUUAUAUUAAUAAUAUCGAUAGGCACACAGAAUGAAAUUGCAUACUGUUGCAGUUUUAUUCCGCCUGUUUUUAUGAUUUGUUUUAUACACACUAUGUUUAAUUUUUCAGGUACUUGAUAAUGACGAAAUUGAUAUUAAAAUAAGUAAUAUAGAAUUGGAGUAAAGCUAUACUAAAUAAUAAGAUUAUAUAUAUAACUAACUAAGAAUAAUUUCAUAUUACAUACUAUCUUGUAAAUUGGUAAAGUAUAUUAGUAAGUUCUUAAAAAUUUCAUAAUUUCAUUGCGUGCUUAUUCAUAGCUACAAUUAUUAUGCAUGAUGCAUAACAUGCAUCUUGGGGUUCUAAUGCUUCAUUUUUUACGCUUUAACACAUUUAUAUUAAGAGUAAUAUUAAGGAUCUAGUUCUAAAGUUAACUUAGUUUUAAGGCUAAUGCAAGGCAAAAAUGGCAGAUAGAUUAACUAUUUGCCACUUAGUAAUUAAGAUGGUCUAAAAGGUCUGGAUAUAUAUUGGGUCGACACAUGAUUGCCAUUAGCUGUAAAACGGUAUUUAUUUAUGAAUCAAUUAUCUUACUUAACUAGUAGAAUUCUAAAAUAAUUUUA